rnacentral:tRNA from 1 species
GCCUCCGUGGUGGAAUUGGUAGACACGAUAGACUCAAAAUCUAUUGUUGAAAAACAUGUCGGUUCGAGUCCGACCGGAGGUA